UACGGAAGGCAGCAGUGGGAAUAUUGCACAAUGGGCGCAAGCCUGAUGCAGCCAUGCCGCGUGUAUGAAGAAGGCCUUCGGGUUGUAAAGUACUUUCAGUCGUGAGGAAGGUGUUAAGGUUAAUAACCUUAGCAAUUGACGUUAGCGACAGAAGAAGCACCGGCUAACUCCGUGCCAGCAGCCGCGGUAAUACGGAGGGUGCGAGCGUUAAUCGGAAUUACUGGGCGUAAAGGGCACGCAGGCGGUUAAUUAAGUUGGAUGUGAAAUCCCCGGGCUUAACCUGGGAAUGGCAUUCAAGACUGGUUAGCUAGAGUCUUGUAGAGGGGGUAGAAUUCCAUGUGUAGCGGUGAAAUGCGUAGAGAUGUGGAGGAAUACCGGUGGCGAAGGCGGCCCCUGGACAAAGACUGACGCUCAUGUGCGAAGCGUGGGGAGCAAACGAGGGAUUAGAUACC
rnacentral:rRNA from 1 species